GGGCCUAUCGAGGGGUGCUGGACUCAUCUAAGGUUUUUCUAAAUCUUGGUGAGUUCGGCUGAGAUUAUACCCUUAAAAACGGUUCAAGGUAAUGCUUGCGACGUUGAUGAUGCCCUUUUUG
rnacentral:ncRNA from 1 species